GAUGAACGCUGGCGGCGUGCCUAAUACAUGCAAGUCGAGCGAACAGACGAGGAGCUUGCUCCUCUGACGUUAGCGGCGGACGGGUGAGUAACACGUGGAUAACCUACCUAUAAGACUGGGAUAACUUCGGGAAACCGGAGCUAAUACCGGAUAAUAUAUUGAACCGCAUGGUUCAAUAGUGAAAGACGGUCUUGCUGUCACUUAUAGAUGGAUCCGCGCCGCAUUAGCUAGUUGGUAAGGUAACGGCUUACCAAGGCAACGAUGCAUAGCCGACCUGAGAGGGUGAUCGGCCACACUGGAACUGAGACACGGUCCAGACUCCUACGGGAGGCAGCAGUAGGGAAUCUUCCGCAAUGGGCGAAAGCCUGACGGAGCAACGCCGCGUGAGUGAUGAAGGUCUUCGGAUCGUAAAACUCUGUUAUUAGGGAAGAACAAAUGUGUAAGUAACUAUGCACAUCUUGACGGUACCUAAUCAGAAAGCCACGGCUAACUACGUG
rnacentral:rRNA from 1 species